rnacentral:rRNA from 1 species
UUCUGGCUCAGGACGAACGCUGGCGGCGUGCUUAAUACAUGCAAGUCGAGCGGUGAACCUAGCCGAUAGCCUUCGGGCUUGAAGUUGGGGGAUCAGCGGCGGAUGGGUGAGUAACGCGUGGGUACCUGCCCUAAAGUUCGGGAUAACAGCCCGAAAGGGUUGCUAAUACCGGAUGUGACCGAAAGGUUAAAGGUAGCAAUAUCGCUUUAGGAUGGGCCCGCGUCCCAUUAGCUAGUUGGUGGGGUAAUGGCCUACCAAGGCUGCGAUGGGUAGCCGGCCUGAGAGGGUGGACGGCCACACUGGGACUGAGACACGGCCCAGACUCCUACGGGAGGCAGCAGUAGGGAAUCUUCCGCAAUGGACGAAAGUCUGAACCGGAGCGACGCCGCGUGGGGGAAGAAGGCCUUCGGGUUGUAAACCUCUGUCCUCAGGGACGAAGAGGGUGUAGAGAUACACCGAAGACGGUACCUGAGGAGGAAGCCCCGGCUAACUACGUGCCAGCCGCCGC